rnacentral:misc_RNA from 1 species
GAUGAAGAACGUAGCGAAAUGCGAUACUUGGUGUGAAUUGCAGAAUCCCGCGAAUCAUCGAGUUUUUGAACGCAAGUUGCGCCCGAAGCCAUUCGGCCGAGGGCACGUCUGCCUGGGUGUCACGCAUCGUUGCCCCCCCAAACUCCGGUUCGGGCGGGGCGGAAGUUGGCCUCCCGUGCGUGCCUGCGCGCGCGGUUAGCCCAAAAGCGAGUCCUCGGCGACGAGCGCCACGACACUCGGUGGUUUUUUUCCCCUCGUUCCUCGUCGUGCGUGUCCCGUCGCCCGAACGCGCUCUUGUGACCCUCACGCGUCGCCUCGGCGGCGCUCCCAACGCGACCCCAGGUCAGGCGGGACUACCCGCUGAGUUUAAGCAUAUCAUAAGCGGAGGA